rnacentral:rRNA from 1 species
UACAGAGGUGGCAAGCGUUGUUCGGAAUUACUGGGCGUAAAGGGCGCGUAGGCGGCCUUCUAAGUCGGACGUGAAAGCCCCAGGCUUAACCUGGGAACUGCGUCCGAUACUGGGAGGCUUGGAUUCGGGAGAGGGAUGUGGAAUUCCAGGUGUAGAGGUGAAAUGCGUAGAUAUCUGGAGGAACACCGGUGGCGAAGGCGGCAUCCUGGACCGAGAUCGACGCUGAGGCGCGAAAGCUAGGGGAGCAAACGGGG